ensembl:lncRNA CD44-DT CD44 divergent transcript
GGGGAACCUGGAGUGUCGCGGGGUGCCUGUGCCUCCGAGCCCCACUGGCCCCUGCGCCCAGAGACGCACUGGCUUUCUUCUCCCGCUGGCCCCGCGGCGUCAGGACAGAGGAUGACCGAACCGUAAAACCUUGCACCAUUGGGUUCAGCCUUUGGCCUCUCCUUUCCCGCUAAAUUUCUCUGAAUCCGGCUGGAGCAAGAUCUCUGGGUUUCACAGGAUGUUGGAUAUCCUGGGAGAGGAGCUGGAGAGAGGGCGAGGUCUUGCCCUGGGUGGCGCAGUGCCUCCGUGCCCACAGUGGGGAGUGAGGGGUGGGGAGUUGGUGAAUCUUCCAAGUGGAAAGAGGGAGAGCUCAUUCUUUUUCCCCUCAAUAACAAGUCCACAUGGCUUGAAUGAAUUUUAGCUUCUUGGCAGAACAGCUCAGGGAAAGCUACUGAUGGCCUGUCAUAGGGCUGGCAUUUGGCUCAGCUAACCCAUGUGUUCAAGCCAGUGUGAAUGGGCACCUCUCUCCACACACAUGCUCAUUCAUCCUCCUAAAUAUCCUUCCAUCCGCCCAUCCAUCUAUCCACCCAUCUUUCCUUAUGUCCUUCUGGGGCUCUCACAUCCAUCCAUCCUCCUGUCCAUCCACUAACCACUUAGGUCCAUCUAUCAUCCCACUCAUUCAUUCAUCCAACCACACACCUUUUAAUUUAUUCAACCACCUAUUCUUCUAUUCAUCUUCCCAUACAACUUCUCAUCCAUCAUUCCACACUUCCUUUUUCACAUCUCUUCAUAAAACCACAACCAUCCACCAUCCUCUUCUCCACCCAUCCACCCACAUAUCUGUUUAUUGAUAUAUCCACUCAUUUCCCAUCUGUCCAAGAUCAACAUAUCCACCUAUCAUUUUAUCCAUUCUCUCAUCCACCCAUACGUUCAUCUAUUAUUUUUGCCCCCAUUAUCCUCCUUUCUGUGUAAACAUUAAUUCAUUUUCUCCCAUCUUUCCUACCCAGCAGAUCUUAAAGAGAGGAAGAGUUUGUAAUAUUCUUCAGGGGAAGCCUUUUGAGAUUGAAAUAUCAUACUUUGAAUGAUAACUCUAUAUCUAUCUAUAAUAUACUAUGGUUUAAUGUUUGGAAAUCAAACGCAGUAUUUAUUUGUCAUGUGAACUACUAAAAGUAAAUCUGCAUGGACUUCUUGCCUGGUGAGUUACACAGAAAAUGAAAGUGAUUAUCAGUGGCUGUGGCAAGAUGAAAGGAACCAUGCCAGGACUUCUGAGGGAAGGAAGAGUGUUUGGGACUGAAAAAUCCUUGUCUGGAUCUAGUCCUCAGCCACUCAGAAGCUGGCAUGCCAUGACUCAAAGAGCCGCCCGUCUGGAAUGAAGACAGUGACCCGUAACUCCCACCUGAAGAGCAGGUGCUUGGAAAAUGCUGCCAGUCCGCAGGAAAAAGUUGUUACUGCUGCUGUCUGUGACCAAGAGGACACUUUAUUUCUUGAAACAACUGGGGGCAAACUGGCUCCCAGAUAAGGCUUCAGUCCCUACUCAUGUGAGGAAACCAGCCCUGGUAGGUUCCAUGCACAAGAAUACAGGACAAGGAGCAGCUUUUUUCACCUCAUGCAACCUCCAGGGAUUUCAGCUUCCUUUUCUUGGAGCAAGAAAGUGAAGUGACGUGGGGAGUCACUAGGAACAAUGUCUGUCUUACUGUGUUUCAUGGAACCUGGAGGUUCCUUAGAGACCCCUCAGAAGCAGACCUAGUGGUCAGAGUAAAAGCUGAGGAGUAAGCUGUGCCUCUCCCUCCCCAGGCCCCAUCCCAACCACAGAAGUUCCACUUGCAUCAGUUUUAUAUACCAGACUAUUGCAUGAAAUUACAUUUUGACAGAUGAUUAUUCUUAAAAAAUAUAUAAAAACCAACAAACUAGGCCAUAUCAAGUCCUGGUCCCUUCUCCAUUAGUGCAGUAAACAAUUCCACCAAGGAAAAUAUAGGUGUGAAAGUGCUUUGCAAACUGUAGAAGGGCAUGCAAAUUCUAGGGGCUGUAAUUAGGAUUAUUCUCCCCAGAAGCGGGGAUUAUUUUGUUUGCUUGCUUCCCGAUAGUUUGGUGAGGGACUGAGGUCAUUUGCCCCCAUACCACAAAUGACUCAUUUCAAAUAACAGACCUGGUGACUUACUGAGUCAAGGUCCACCUUUGGGAAUUCCUGGAUCACCUCUUUGAGCUCCCCUCUCAUCCACUUUCCAUUCUAAAGACACCCUGCCCACACCACUGGUCACACAAACCCUUCCCAAACUCUUAGAUGCUUGAUAUCUGUUGUGUGUUGCACCAUCUUUCUUUCUAAGCCAAACCAUGGGAUGUGGGAAACUGGAAAGGAAACUUGAAUUGAUUUGAGUUGACACGAGAUUACACUAUUUGGGAAGAAUCCAGAAUUCAAUCAGCAGCCUUGGACCGAGAAAGUCCAGGUCUGAGCAUUGGCUUUCCCCCUUAUCAGAGGAUGACUUAACCUCUGGGAGUUUCGGUAAUCCCAGCCACAAAACAAGGGUAAUCAGACCUUUCCCAUAGUUUAUUAUGAGUAGUCAGUGAAAGAAGACAUCAAGACCAUUUCCUGGUGUGCCUGCCUCAUGGUGGGACUCAAUGACCUCUAAGCUACCUGAGAACAGGGACAUGUCCUUCUGGGGUGCCAGCACAUACUCAGCUCUCAGUCCCUAACAUAUACACUGUGCUCCAUAAAUAAGCAUUACAUAAAUGUAUGAGGGACUGUUAUUUUUUUUCCCUCCCAUCAAAGCGCAUAGGGGUGUUUCAGGAAUCACAUGAACUGGUGGGAGGAAACACAUAGACAACUUGACAGUUUCUAAAUAAAUGCAAGCAGUGACAUCCUAUUUGGGGUGACUGGUUCAGGGAGACUUGAGUGCAAACAGAGCAUUACUCACUCUGGCAGACUAGGGUUCUUUGCUGAAAUAUUGGGGACUGAUGGCUUCUGACUGGUAGUAAUAAAUCCUGUUCCUCUCGAGCAAAGAAAAGCCAAAUCUAAACCAAAUGUGAGCAGGAGUGUGAAAUGGAAAGCUGGGAGAUCUUGGGCUGAAUCAUGGAAUUCAAGGAUUACAAAUGCAGCAGGUCACAGACUCUUUUAAAGGGACAAUAUUUAAUUAUUUCACGGGACAGCUUCCCAGAAAAGGAAUGAUCUGGCACAGUAAAGAAAAAAUGACAUUCCAGUUAAACCUUAACUCUUAAAAAAAUUCAUCCUUAGUUCAUAUUCACAGUGUGAAUUCUACACAU